CAUGACCACAAGUUCUAUAUUUCAUUAUUCCAAGAAUGUUUCUUGAUGUCCUCAUCUGCAAAUAAUUGACAAUAUCACCCUUCAGUGAAAUGCUUUUGAAAAUCUCAACUCCACUUGGUCUCCAUCUAAUUAAUUCAACACAGGAUCUGAUCACCCAACCCACAAGAAUUCAAGCUCUGUUAGUCCUGAUCUGCUCUGUUAAUUAACAACCCUUACUCUGAGUGAAUGAAGACACACUAAGGGCUAAUAUUCUAGAACUGGAAGAGAAACUAUCAAUGACUGUGUCUUCAUUUCCAAGCCCUAAAGUUCAGAACAGAGAUGAGUAGGCUAAUAAAUUGGUGUCUCCUUCAAACCACUACUUGUAGGAUCUUUAUUAGAGGGCAGACUGAGUUCUGUGUAAGGACGAAUUGAGCAGGACCACUGCCCUCCAUGUGCAAACAAUCCAGCUGGGGUACCUAAUUUACAUAUCUCAGUAGGAAAAACAGGAACCCUGCAGUAAGCCAUCC
rnacentral:lncRNA from 1 species